rnacentral:lncRNA from 1 species
UUGCAUCUCCACUUCAGUUUAGCAGUUCAGAGUCGUUGGAGCCAGAAAGAAUGUCCGUUUGUGCUCAAAUUUGACAGUCAAGCUCGGUUUUACUUACUAAGAAAGAAUAUAUCCUAAGUUUUUAGUUUCGACCACGUUUGGUCACCGAAAACUCUACCGAACUAUAAUCUCUAGUAGAUAACAGUCGGAUUUUAUUUUUCACCUUCCGGGUGUCGGAUUGACCUGACACUUUAAAUCUAGCCUCAUAAAAAUAAUCCUGGCAUAUUCUCCAAUUUUCAUAAUUUUCUGACACUAUACAUUUUCUGCUAAAAUAUCAGCUCCGUUUCUUAUAGAAAAUUCUAAAUUUUCUGUUUUCAUUCCGAUUUCAGCACCAGUCGUCUCCGACUUAUAUUUUACUUCUCUAAAUCCAAUAAAAAUAGUAUCUCACACUAUUUUUAUUUAUUUUUACUUUUAUAUCAAAAUCCGGUAUAUUACACAAAUUAUCCCAAAAAUUUUGGCAUCGAGCAA